CUCUUCACUGAGUCCCAGACCCAGCUCCUUAAAGGGGACCACACAGAUGUAGCUGGUCACGUUGUCACUCUCCGAGUUCAGAGGAAUCACAGAAUGGUUUGGGUUGGAAAGGAACAUGAAGAUGCUCUAAUUCCAAACCCCUUGCCAUGGGCCUGGACACCUUCCACCAGACUCCUGAAAGCCCCAUCCAGCAUGGCCCUUAACACUUCCAGGGAUGGGAUGAUCCGAGAAGAGGAUGAGAAGAAGCCGUCAGUGUAACUGCACCUGUGUCCCUGCACAGUGGCAUUUUCCUCACAGCAUCAGCGGAUGCAGUUUGAAACUUCCCAGGAUCAUGCGAUUUCUCCUGACUAAUGUGGCUUUCUAACUGGGAGGAGGGAGAUGAGAAUGACAGAUUGCUAAAGGCUUUUAAAAAGAUGCUGCUUGAAAGAAUUAUUGCACAUUGAUCUCAUAUUCAGCCAUUAAUAAGACUUUCCAAGGAACAAUAUUUAAAAGCCUUGGUCAUAUUCUCCUGGCUGGUAACCACCUCCUCCUGAGCACUGACUGACAAAGAGCCAGGCGCUGCUGACAGGGCUAAUAUUAGACAAUGACUUCAAGGCAGCCAAAGAGUCAUUUAGAUUUCCUAUUCUGCUUUCCCCGCCACAGCAGCACAGACCUUGGUUUCUCCAGCACUACUGUAUCAUCUGUUUUACAAGUAGGCUCUGAGAAUUACUUUAAAGUCAUUAAUCUAUUACUGUUCCCAGAUAUUUUUUGAUGCACAAUAUCUUGGCCAGUGGUAGCACUCAGCAUGAGGAGGUGCCAGGGGGUUGGGUCAGGGGAGGUUUGGGUUGGAUAUCAGGAGAGAAUUUUCUACCUCGGGGUGGUUGAGUACUGGAGCAGGCUUCUCAGGAAAGUGGCCUGGAUCAGGCAUCAGGCCUGUCUAAGUUCAGGAAGCAUUUGGAAAAUGCUCUCAGGACCAUGAUGUGAUUAUUGGGGUGUCCUGCAUGGGGCCUGGAUUUGGGCUUGAUGACCCAGCUGGGUCCCUUUCAACUCAGUAUAUUCUGUGAUUCUAUUAUAUGUGCCUAUAUUGUAUGGACUCAUGUGUUUUCAAGAGUUUGUGAAGUUUUACACACUGUGUAUAUUUCUGUAUCACUAGAUCUCUGACAUGGGAAUACUCUUUCCUUUGCAUUGUACAGCAGGUGGUUGUACAUUACAGCCAUCAUGGAAAAGCAUUAGAAAAAAAAAUUACAUACUAGACAAAGCACUGAAAUUCACUGAGAGCUCAUCACUGUUUAUCCAUUCAAAAGUAGACCUGCAGAUGCAGGUGAAAAGCUGAGCAGGUCCUUUCUGACAGAGAUGAAAAAUACUGGAAAAACUUCAAGUUAAAGCGGUAAAUGUUACUUUCCCUGAAGGACAAGGUAAUGAGCCAGCUAACUCUGUACCUGGAGAUUUGGGUGGGAAGUCACUCAUCAUGCUGGUUAUCAGACUAGGUUGAUGAUACAGCAAGACUGGUUUGCUUUAUACCAGUCACUAUCUCAUAGAUUUACUCCUUCAUUUACGUUCAAAACUCAAUUACAGUAACUUCACGAAUACAAGCCGCACUGAGU